rnacentral:rRNA from 1 species
GGCAAGUCAGAUGUGAAAUCCUACAGCUUAACUGUAGAACUGCAUUUGAAACUGCCGUCCUAGAGUAUGGGAGGGGGAGAUGGAAUUAGUGGUGUAGGGGUAAAAUCCGUAGAUAUCACUAGGAAUACCGAAAGCGAAGGCGAUUUCCUGGAACAUAACUGACGCUAAGGCGUGAAAGCGUGGGGAGCAAACAGGAUUAGAUACCCUGGUAGUCCACGCCCUAGACGAUGAAUGCUAGUCGUUGUGGUGCUAGUCACUGCAGUGAUGCAGCUAACGCAAUAAGCAUUCCGCCUGGGGAGUACGGUCGCAAGAUUAAAACUCAAAGGAAUAGACGGGGACCCGCACAAGCGGUGGAGCAUGUGGUUUAAUUCGAAGAUACGCGAAGAACCUUACCUGGGCUUGACAUCCCAAGAAUCUCUCAGAGAUGAGAGAGUGCCCUUUCGGGGGAACUUGGURACAGGUGCUGCACGGCUGUCGUCAGCUCGUGUCGUGAGAUGUUGGGUUAAGUCCCGCAACGAGCGCAACCCUCGUCCUUAGUUGCCAGCACUUAGGGUGGGCACUCUAAGGAGACUGCCUGGGUAACCAGGAGGAAGGUGAGGACGACGUCAAGUCAUCAUGCCCCUUAUGUCCAGGGCGACACACGUGCUACAAUGGCGUGUACAAUGAGACGCGAUACCGUGAGGUGGAGCAAAUUUAUAAAGCACGUCCCAGUUCGGAUUGCAGUCUGCAACUCGACUGCAUGAAGUUGGAAUCGCUAGUAAUCGCGGAUCACCCAUGCCGCGGUGAAUACGUUCCCGGGUCUUGUACUCACCGCCCGUCACACCAUGGGGA